AGGCAGCGGAGGCGGCGGCGACGACGAGGUGACAGCGCUCGGCGCCGACGCCAUGUCAGCGGGGCGGCCCAGCACGCCUGCGCAGGAGGCGCCCUCGCCUCGCGCCGCCGGCCCCGCCCCUCUGGCCCCCGCCCCGCCCACCAUCUCCCUCUGCGGCCUGACUCCGCCCCAACUCCGGCCUCGUUCUCGGCCGCCCCGCCUUAGCUUGCAGAAUGCCGGCCACCCACUUUACGUCACAGUGGGUGACGCCCUCUGCCCGCCCCCGGAGCUCCGCCCACCUGCUGGAGCGCGUGCGCCUGCUGCUAACCGCUGGUGGGGCUCGUGCUAGGGGGGGAGGGGCGGACUAGAAGUGAGCAUCAGGCAACUUCGCAGGAGUUCGAAUCCCACCUUUGCUCUUUAGCCCAGUGUGGCCGGCUCCAGUCUCUGAACCAGCGUACUCUUUUGGUUAGCAUGAAGACCCCGGGAAUCCCAUCUAAAUUUAUGACCGUAAGAAACACACACACAGUGCCUUCUUUGAGGUGGGCAUGCCAGUGUCUACUGUGUCUCACAGCUGAUGCCAACAUUUUCCCAGGACAGUUUGAGAGGGUCCUUGUAUGACUUCUGACCUCUAGGUAUUGCUGUGUCGCUGUGCCAGAGUAUUCUCUGGGGGAACAAGGGAGCGAAGUCCCAAUACUCAAGACCCCACUUCUCUGCAUAAAGGUUACUGGGGUCUAUACCCCCAGAGAUUUGAGAACUAAAAUGGAAGACAACAGAUUCUUGGAUUAUUUAUUUUUCUAGAGGUAAAAAGUAAAAAACAAACCUUUAGAGUUCUUUGUGUUACAGGAUUUAUUAGAUUAUUGCUAAUGUUAAAUCAGUAUUGGCUUAACCUGUCCCUGAGUGAUUUCUAAAACACAAAGCUGGAAUGGGAAGAGUCCCAGCUCAAUAUUCUGGGAUAUAAACUCACCUUAGUACUGGGCUCUCUCCCCUUGUAUACUUGGAUCCCAGUUUAAGACAUAUCUCCGAGACAAUAGAGAAUGAUCUUUUACCUCAAGAAAUUAGGCUAAUGACAAUCCUACCUAAAUUAGUUUACUUACUCAGUGCUGUGCCAAUCCAACUACCAAAAAACUCUUUUAUAGAACUAGGGGGAAAAAUAAAGUUCAUCCAGAAGAACAAAAGGUCAAGGAUAUCGAGGGAACUAAUGAAAACAAUAUGAAGGAUGCUGGCCUAGCGGUAUCAGAUCUUAAAGUUUAAGGGGUCCCCAAACUUUACACAGGGGGCCAGUUCACUGUCCCUCAGACCAUUGGAGGGCGAGACUAUAAAAAAAGACCAUGAACAAAUCUGUGUACCGCUGACUGGGAUAGCGGAGGCUGCAGCACCGGCUGUGAUGUGCCCGACACACCUUGCACAUCACCACCACCACUAUACCAGGCAGCAGUGUACACAGUGCAGAAUUCCCUCCCCCAGAUCACCGCUCACCAUUGACGUCUUCCAUUGUGCAGCCACAUAAUCCUUUGCAAGGUGCCUCGUGCAAAGGAUUAUGUCACUGGAAGUAGUACUGUAUGUGAGUGAUGACAUGCUUUGACAGGGUUCCUCUCACUGAUGACCAAUGAAAGAGGUGCCCCUUCCAGAAGUGCGGUGGAGGCUGGAUAAAUGGCCUCGGGGGGCCACGAGGGAUCCCUGUCUUAAACUGUACCAUAAAGCAAUAAUCCUCAAAAUAAUCUGGUACUAGCUAAGAAAUAGAAAGGUGGAUGAAUAGAAUUGAUUAGGGGUAAAUCACCUCAGCAAGCUAGUGUUUGAUAAACCCAAAGAUCCCAACUUUGAGGAUAAAAACUCACUAUUUGAUAAAAACUGCUGGGAAAACAGGAAAAUAGCAUGGCAAAAAUUAGGUAUAGAUCAACACCUCAUAACCAAGAUAUGGUUAAAAUGGUGAUAUGAUUUAGAUGUUAGGGGUGACAUGAUGAGUAAAUUAGGGGAACACAAAAUAGUUUACUUGUCAGAUCUCUGGAGAAGGGAAGAAUGUAUGACCCAACAAGAGAUAGAGAACAUUACAGGUUGUAAAAGAAAUAAUUUUGAUUAUGAAGGAAAACAAAAACUGGGGAAAAUUUUACAGCAAAUUUCUAUGAUAAAGGACUAAUUUCUCAAAUAUCUAAAGGACUAAGUCAAACUUAUGAGAAUAUAAAUCAUUCCCCAAUUGACAUUUGGUCAAAGGAUAUGAAUAGGCAGUUUUCUGAUGAAGAAAUCAAAGCUAUCAAUAAUGAUAUGAAAAAUUGUUCUAAAUCCCUCUUAAUUAGAGAAAUGCAAAUCAAAACAACUCUGAGGUACCAUCUUAUACUUAUCAGAUUGGUCAAUAAGUCAGUAAAAGAAAAUUAUAAAUGUUGGAGGGAAUGUGGCAAAAUUGGGUCAGGAAUGCAUUGCUGGUGAAGUUGUGAACUGAUCCAACCAUUCUGGAGGGUAAUUUGGAAUUAUGUCGAAAGGGCUAUAAAACAAGGUAUACUCUUUGAUCCAGUAAUACCAUUACUAUCCCAAAGAGAUAAAAAAAAAAAAGAGAAACAACUUGGCUUGUACAAAAGUAUUUAUAGCUGCUUUCUGUGGUGGCAAAAGAAAAAAAAAUUGGAAACUAAAGAGAUAUCCAUGAAUUGAAGAAUCGCUGAACAAAUUGUGGUAUAUGAUGGUGUUGGAAUACUAUCAUGCUAUAAGGAAUGAUGAAAAGGAUGAUUUCAGAAAGAGCUGGGAAGAUCUUCAUGAGCUGAUGCGGAGGGAAAUCAGCAGAGCCAGGAGGAUAAUGUACACAGCAGCAGCAAUAUUGUGGAACAAUCAAAUGUGAUAGACUUUAACUACUUUCAGCAAUACAAUGAUCCAGGACAAUUCUGAAGAACUUAAGACAAAGAAGCACUCUACCUCCAGACAAAGAACUAUUGGAGUAGGAAUGCAGAUGAAUGUAUGAUUUUUCUCUUAUUUAUUUGGGUAUAUAUUUUAGCAUUUGGGUUUUAUAAGAUUAUUCAUUUACAGAAAUGAACAAUAUGGAACUAUGUUUUGCAUGAUAAUACAUGUAUAACCCAGAUUAAAUUGCCUGCCAGCUUCUGGAAGGGGAAGAGGAGAGAGAAUUUAGAUCACAUAACUUUGGAAAACUUAUGAGGAAAUUUAUAAUUACAUGUAACUGAUAAAAAUUUUUUUAAAGAUAUUUCAUAAAUAAAUUAGGCUUAAAAUAGUAUGGAAACUACAGAAAACAAGAAAGAAAAGAAAAAAGAAAAGAAAAAGCAGGAAAGGUUGAAUCUCUUAUCUAAAAGCAUGGAGGAGGGCGAGAGGGAAGACGUAUUUAGUUGUUUUCUCUGCUCCAAUAGGGACAGUCUUCUUCAUUCAGAAGACUUCUCUUUAACUUGAUCUAUUUUUGGGAUCCUGGACAAGUCACUUAGCAUCCCUCUUCCUGGGCCUCAGUUCCAUGACCUUUAGAAUGAGAAGGGUUGAACUAUACGGCCUCUAAGAUCACUGCCACCUCUAAAUUUUGAAUCCUCCUUGUGCAACUGGAAGCAAAUUACUUUAAUUCUCUGGUUAGUUUCCUUAGCUGAGCAAUGAGACUGGGCAUUGAUAAGCUCUGAAGUUCUUUCAAGAUGGAGCCCAGGAAGUCUCUGAACUUAAAAAAAAAAUUAUUUUAGAUAACUAUUUCAAUAUAAUUGGUUUACUUUGUAAUUUUGGUUAUUCUGUGCAGUUAAAUUUAUAUUGCUGCAAAGGACUCCAAGGGCUUCACCAGAUUGCCAAAGGUGUCCAUUAGACUGACACCAGCAACUGUUUUUUGCCUUUUUUUUGGUAUCCUCAGUAUUUAUCCCAGUGCCUGGCACAUGGUAGGUAUUGGCUAAAUUCUUGGUUGACUUGACUUUUACCUUAGACCUAUCAUCCCUUGUUAUGGCUCAUGUCAUCUCAUUUUCACUUAUAAAACCACCUGAGUUGCUCUAAGGUCAGUGUUUCAGUUCUUUUCUCUUUUAAAUUAUAUUUCUUAUUCCCAGUUAUAUGUAGAAACGGAUUUUAACACUUAGUUUCUGACAUUUUGCCAUCUAAAUUAUCUUUCUCCCUCCCUGACCCCCUUUGUGAGAUGGCAGGCAAUCUGAUCCAGGUUAUGCAGAUUUAGUCCUUCUCCCAGAGCUACCCAGUAUAUCUAUAGUUCUUUUUUUUUUAAGCCCUUACCUUACAUCUUAGAAUCAAUACCGAGUAUUGGUUCUAAGGCAGAAGAGUGGUCAGGGCUAGGCAAUGGGAGUCAAGUGACUUGCCCAGGGUCACCCAGCUGGGAAGUGUCUGAGGCCACAUUUGAACCCAGGACCUCCCAUCUCUGGGUCUAGCUCUCAAUCCGCUGAGCCACCCGGCUGCCCCCUAUACCUAUAUUGCAAAGCCUGGUAGCAGCCCAUCUUUGUUCCCAAACCCAUAUGGUUUAAUGCUUCCUUUUGGAUUUUCUAGAGGACUAAAAAUCCUUCAGAAGGCAUUAUUCAAAGUUAGAUGUGUCCUGUGCCAUUAAAACAAAGGCAACCAAAGGGACCCAGAGAAUGAACCCUGCCUGACACCAGGAUGGGCCAAGGGCCACACAGAGCCUGGUGCCAGAGCCAGGUUUCCAGGCUGUCACAGAUGGGCCUUAUCAGGCACUGUCAUGUUGAGGGAAGCCUGCUAUUGUGCUGCUAUUUUUACCCCAGGCCACUUGCUGGAGAAG